rnacentral:rRNA from 1 species
GAUGAACGCUGGCGGCGUGCUUAACACAUGCAAGUCGAACGGAAAGGCUCCUGCUUGCCGGGGUACUCGAGUGGCGAACGGGUGAGUAACACGUGGGUGAUCUGCCCUGCACUUCGGGAUAAGCCUGGGAAACUGGGUCUAAUACCGGAUAGGACGAUGGUUUGGAUGCCAUUGUGGAAAGUUUUUCGGUGUGGGAUGAGCUCGCGGCCUAUCAGCUUGUUGGUGGGGUAAUGGCCUACCAAGGCGUCGACGGGUAGCCGGCCUGAGAGGGUGGACGGCCACAUUGGGACUGAGAUACGGCCCAGACUCCUACGGGAGGCAGCAGGGGGGAAGAUUGCACAAUGGGCGCAAGCCUGAUGCAGCGACGCCGCGUGGGGGAUGACGGCCUGCGGGUUGUAAACUACUUUCGCUAGGGACGAAGCGCAAGUGACGGUACCUGGAGAAGAAGCACCGGCUAACUACGUG